UCCCUGUCAACGGAUAAAGAGACACCUUGUUGGUUGUGGUGUUCUUAUACCAGUCAAAGGCAAAGCAGGUGAUAGUAUUUCGUUCAUUCUAGCUUGAUGCCUGUCUUGGUGGCUAAUGUUGUUUUAUGCCUAGGACACAUCA